rfam:Oryza glaberrima chromosome 7 Oglab07_0129_31, whole genome shotgun sequence.
AAUAAGCGCAGUUGUGAGUUUCAGUGCUAACGUUUGACCGCCCGUCUUAUUUGAAAUUUUCUUAUGAUUACUAUUUUUAUUGUUAUUAGAUGAUAAAAUAUGAAUAUUACUUUAUGUGUCGCUUAAUUUUUAAAAUUUGUUCAUAAAUUUUUCAAAUAAGACGAAUGGUCAAAUGUUGUAUACGGAAACUUAUGACUCACUUAAA